rnacentral:rRNA from 1 species
UUUUACAGACACUUGAUUGAAAAUGGUGUCAAGUAUCCACAUCUAUACAUGUGGAAGAUUAAAAUGCCACCUAGAAUCAAGGUAUUCAUGUGGUUGGCGCUUAGAAAAAGUAUACUUACAAAAGAUAAUUUGAUUCGUAGGGGGUGGAAAGGAGAUGAUAAAUGUCCUUUUUGUGGGCAAAAAGAGAACAUAAAUCACCUUUUUUUUGUCUUGUUCUGUUGCUAG